GCAGCGCGGGGCAACCUGGCGGCGAGUGGCGAACGGGUGAGUAAUAUAUCGGAACGUGCCCUGGAGUGGGGGAUAACGCAGCGAAAGUUGCGCUAAUACCGCAUACGAUCUAAGGAUGAAAGCGGGGGAUUCGCAAGAACCUCGUGCUCCUGGAGCGGCCGAUAUCUGAUUAGCUAGUUGGUGGGGUAAAGGCCUACCAAGGCAUCGAUCAGUAGCUGGUCUGAGAGGACGACCAGCCACACUGGAACUGAGACACGGUCCAGACUCCUACGGGAGGCAGCAGUGGGGAAUUUUGGACAAUGGGCGAAAGCCUGAUCCAGCAAUGCCGCGUGAGUGAAGAAGGCCUUCGGGUUGUAAAGCUCUUUUGUCAGGGAAGAAACGGUGAAGGCUAAUAUCCUUUGCUAAUGACGGUACCUGAAGAAUAAGCACCGGCUAACUACGUGCCAGCAGCCGCGGUAAUACGUAGGGUGCAAGCGUUAAUCGGAAUUACUGGGCGUAAAGCGUGCGCAGGCGGUUUUGUAAGUCUGUCGUGAAAUCCCCGGGCUCAACCUGGGAAUUGCGAUGGAGACUGCAAGGCUAGAAUCUGGCAGAGGGGGGUAGAAUUCCACGUGUAGCAGUGAAAUGCGUAGAGAUGUGGAGGAACACCGAUGGCGAAGGCAGCCCCCUGGGUCAAGAUUGACGCUCAUGCACGAAAGCGUGGGGAGCAAACAGGAUUAGAUACCCUGGUAGUCCACGCCCUAAACGAUGUCUACUAGUUGUCGGGUUUUAAUUAACUUGGUAACGCAGCUAACGCGUGAAGUAGACCGCCUGGGGAGUACGGUCGCAAGAUUAAAACUCAAAGGAAUUGACGGGGACCCGCACAAGCGGUGGAUGAUGUGGAUUAAUUCNAUGCAACGCGAAAAACCUUACCUACCCUUGACNUGUACGGAAGCCACGAGAGNUCGANNCGUGCUCGAAANANANNCGU
rnacentral:rRNA from 1 species